GCCGUGCCCGUCGUGAGGUCGUCCUGCGUGAGUCGUAGCCAUGUUCAGCGGUGGAAGCGAGGAUUGUGGAGUCUCUGUGCUGCUGCCGAAGGCUUUCUCCCCCAGUCUGUGCUGGAAGCAGGGGACUGCCACGCCAAUCGCGGUGUUUGUCCGUGCUGGACCCUGGCCAGCGAUGUUGAUCGGUUGGUCCCGCGGCCGUGGCUGGAGGAGCGACCGCGUGCUGCGACCGUCUCUCUGCUGGAAAUCUAAUCUCAGGAGCUCGAGGGGACUUGCUGCUCCGGAAUUGCGUCUUGCCGUCGGUCUUGCGUCACCUUGGUCCCUCGUAUGCCUCGUACCGCGUCCCUGUAACCCGUGUUCUGCGGGCUGGACUAAGGCGCCGAGCACGUAACGUAAGCAGCAGUCCGACUUGGACCGCGUGCAUGGCGAUCUCCCGGCAAGCGGCCAUCCCCGUCGUUUUUGAGUGCUGUGGAACGCCGCCUGUUCAAUUCCGUCCGACCGGC